rnacentral:rRNA from 1 species
UACGGGGGGGGCAAGCGUUGUUCGGAAUUACUGGGCGUAAAGGGCUUGUAGGUGGCUUGUUAAGUCAGACGUGAAAUCCCUCAGCUUAACUGGGGAACUGCGUCUGAUACUGGCGAGCUUGAGUGCAGGAGAGGAACGCGGAAUUCCAGGUGUAGCGGUGAAAUGCGUAGAUAUCUGGAGGAACACCGGUGGCGAAGGCGGCGUUCUGGACUGUAACUGACACUGAGAAACGAAAGCCAGGGUAGCAAACGGG